UACGGAGGGUGCAAGCGUUAUCCGGAUUCACUGGGUUUAAAGGGUGCGUAGGUGGGCAGGUAAGUCAGUGGUGAAAUCUCCGGGCUUAACCCGGAAACUGCCGUUGAUACUAUCUGUCUUGAAUGUCGUGGAGGCAGGCGGAAUAUGUCAUGUAGCGGUGAAAUGCUUAGAUAUGACAUAGAACACCAAUUGCGAAGGCAGCUUGCUACACGAUGAUUGACACUGAGGCACGAAAGCGUGGGGAUCAAACAGG
rnacentral:rRNA from 1 species